CAAACCGGGGAACCAGGGGUUUAAUUUCAAGCCACCCCAAAAAACUUAACUGGGCUUGAAAUUCCAGGGAACCUGAAUAGAAUCGGGCGUUCCCCCAGGAACCGGGACACAGGUGCUGCAUGGCUGUCGUCAGCUCGUGUCGUGAGAUGUUGGGUUAAGUCCCGCAACGAGCGCAACCCUUGUCCUUAGUUGCCACCAUUUUAUUGGGAACUCUCAGGAGAACCCCCGCGACAAAACGGAGAAAAGGGGGGAGAACAUCUAGUCUUCUCGGGCUUUUUGGGCCCGGGUACACACGUGCUAUAAUGGGGUAUACACAAGGAAUCCCACACCCGAGAGGGAGACCAUCCCAGAAAAACCCUACCACUCCUGAUAGUAGACUGCGACUCUCCUCCAUGAAAUCCGAGUCUCUCUUAAUCUCACAUAACCAUUGCUGCCGUGAAAACCUUCCCCGGUCUUGUACACCCC
rnacentral:rRNA from 1 species